rnacentral:pre_miRNA from 1 species
AGUGUGGUUGCUGGGUUAUGUGGUAUGUUUAGUUUGAAAGAAACUGUCAUAUGUUUUCCAAAAUGACUGAACCACUUUUCAUUCCACUAGCAAU